rnacentral:lncRNA from 1 species
AGUGAAUAAUCAUUGAACAUUGAUAUCAAGAAUCUUGCCUGUGGUAGAAGCUUUAGGAAUGGUUAUAUACAAAACUCCAUCUUGAACCUCAGCUUUUAUUUUCUCAAACUGUAUGUUCUCAGGUAAUGCAAUUCUGCAUCUAUAUUUCCCAUAGCUCUUAGCAGACCAUCCUCCAUCUUCUUCUUCUUCUUCCUCUAUUCCAUUUUGUGCACCAUUGACAUUAUUUUUCUCGGGCACCUUCUCUGCUUUCAAAACCAACAUCUUCUCUUCAACCCAUACCUUCACAUCUUCUUUAGUCAUUCCAGGCAUGUCAAAUCUCAUCUUGUACUCUGUUUCUCCUUCUUUUAUCUCCCAUGGAGUCCUUCCUCUGCUAUACCCACUUCGUUCAACUGGUGAAGGUGGCUCUGAUGGCCAAGUAGCCGUAUAGACAAAAGGGUCUUCCAUCAUUCUCUCCAUCGUCUCCAUCAUCUGCUGUACUGUUCUAGCUGGAGGAAAUCUGUCCCAUAGCCCUGCAAUUCAAGAUGUUUCUCAAAAUCUUAAAAACCCCACAUUUUACACCUAAAUUUAGACAAUUAAGAGAGAACAAUUAAUUUGUUACUAAUUAAUUAAAUUAAUUACAUACCAACUGGAGCAACAGGAGCCGUUCUUUUCUUGGUUUGGGGUUGUUGGUGGUGCUGCUGCUUGGUGGCUUUCUGUAAAUGAUCAAGAUUGUCUCUAUUUUCUGCUGCCUUUGCUUUGACAAUGAAACGAAGGUUUCUUGAUCGAGCAGAAGUGCUUUUUGAUGAUAAAGGAAGAGAAAAGGUUAAAUUGGAAAGAGCUUGAGACAUUUUUCUAAAGGAAUGAACUCCAAGCUUUUACUUGAUCGGUGGAGAAACACAGAAGGAAUUGGUGACAUGUAAAGAGAGGAGUGGACAUUUCUGGAAACAGCAUUUUGUGAUGUAUAGAAAAUGGGAGUGGCAGAGGACCUUAACGUUCUGGAACUCUCCAGAAAUUCAUUCCUUAACUUCUGGCUGUUUCUGAAAUAAUUUUGUUUCUAAUUAUAGAUAAGCCUUGCUCAAGUACUAUCCGCUUCCUCUCUGUUCUUGAUGUUGACCCUAAUUGGGCCAGUAACUAGGCCAGGCCCAUCCUGGUCCAUCUCCGAAAAUUAUAUAGAAUUUUACCCAAAAAAAUUGAUAUAAAUCCAAUAGGCUUUUCUGAUACCCUCUCCUGAGGAUAAUUUUAGAAUACAAAUUAUUCUUUGUUUAGAUUCCAUUCGAUCCGCAUCCGUACACCAAACUAAUCAAUAAAGAAUUAAAAAAAAAAUAUUACUGUUUUAUUUUUCAUUCAAUAAGUAUUUAGAAAUAUCCUAAUUUGAAUCGAAAAACUGCUUUUAAUUAGCAUAAUAUAUGAAAUGCUGAAUACUCUUCUUCUGGAAAGGGAAGAACUCUCUCUCUUUUCAAACAAAAACAAAUAGUGUUGCAUGAAUUUAUAUUGCAAAUAUUACGUGAUAUUUAUAAAAUAAUUUUCAUCACAUUAAUAAUAAUUAUACAUUUUCACGAAUAAAAAGUAAAAAAAAAAAAAAAAAAAUUUACAAUCCAAAUAUCUUAGCAUAAUUGAUGACUGUCAAAAAGGAAAAAUCUCUUCCAGAUUACUAAAGCCAUCCCAUGAAAGCAAAGAGUCUACAUUAUCAAUCCAAUUCUGCUGAGAUUCUUCUUUGAUGACAGAUUCUUCAAUUCUUGAACAAAAAGAUUCAGAUUUAUCAGUACAAGAGUUCAAAACAGAUCCUGCAUCAAAUUCUUUUCUCAAAGAUUCACUUUCUAUCUGAUAAUCCUUCACUUUUGACUCUUCUUUAGCGGUUUCAGCUUCUUCUGUAUCAAUUCUCUUAUGGGUUUGUGGGUCUAUACCAAGAAUCUUUAGUUUCUUCUUAAUUCUUAUAUUCCAAUGGUUCUUUAUUUCAUUAUCUGUACGGCCUGGAAAAUGUGCAGCAAUUUUAGACCACCUGCAGAAUUAUACAAAAUUUAAUAAUUUCAUACCGUGUGUUUAAUAGUGAUUUAAAAAGUAUAAUCACAAGAAUUAAUUGCAAACCUGUUACCCAAACGCGAAUGGAGUUCGAUUAUUUGAUCUUCUUCUGAUUCUGUUAAAGCUCCUCUUUUAAGAUCAGGCCUCAAUAAAAAGCAUAAUCACAAGAAUUAAUCUCAAUCUGCAACUCUUCCCACACCUUAAUAAACCUACUUAUGUACUUAAUAUUAACCACAGGAACAAGAAAAUAUUUGUCUUUCUGUUACAAAAACAAGAAAUGCCAAGAAGCUAGUUAAUCAAGAGAAGCAACGGCUUUUGUCUGCAAUUAUUGAUGAUAGAGUCCACCUUUAUUUUAAUGGACCACUCAACCCUUCUCUUUUUAACGGUAAAUUGUACAAAGUGAUUAUUAUUUUUAAUAAACAAAUAAACCGUUUGUCUUAUGAAUGUUAAGAUACAUAAUAUGGUAUUUUCACGUGAUCCAAAAUAAUAUUCAAAAAAUACAGUUAAAUAUUUUCGAUGGGGUGAGAUAGGGGUGGCCACGGUUCCGGAACCGGCGGUUCCGGUUCCAAAAAAAUUGGAACCGGAACCGAACCAAAAAUUUCCGAUUCCAAUUCCGGUUUGGAACCGAACGGUUCCGGUUCCGAUACGUUUUCAAAACCGACGGUUCCGAUCGGUUUUCCGACCGGUUUUCCGGCAAUCGCAUAAUUUUAAAUUUUAAAUUUUGAAGACCGGUUUUCAAAAUUUAAUAAAUUUGUGAAAAUUAUUUCUAAAAACAAUACACCUAAAAAACUAAAAAAUGCUUCAAUUAAAUUUAUUUUUUUAAAGACUUGAACAACAACAAAGAAACGCAAACCCAACCAACCCAUUAGGGAAAAAGGAAUUAACAAGAAAAUAAAAAGAUGAUCCAAACCAUUAGCACUUGAUACAAUUGAUAAAAAUAAAAAAAUAAAGAAGAAGAAGAAGCAAAAGACGUGGAGGUAAAAAAGAAAAAGACUUUACCUCUUAGUUCGGUGGUGGGUUUGAAGGGGAAGCCUAUGACUAUUUGAUUUUCUUGAUAGUGUAAAGAAAAUCACAACAAAAUUUAAAAAAAAAAAAAAAAUGGACAAUUUGGCUAGAACCGGCGGUUCUAACCGGCCGAAGAACCGGCGGGGGGGGUGCCGGGGCNNNNNNNNNNNNNNNNUGUGGGGACCCGCCGGUUUGCGGUUCCACAAAUCUAGAACCGGAUCUGAAUCGGAAAUCUCCGGUUCCGGUUCCCUCCGGUUCUAGUUACGGUUCGGGACCGGUUCGAACCGAUGGUUCCGGUUCCGAAAACCGUAAUAUGGCCACCCUUAGGGUGAGAUGAGAUAGUAUAGAUUCUUUUUCUUUUAAUCAGAUAUUUCGAAUUCAAACUCAUUUUAUAUGUCUGCCUAAUGUGAAUUCAAACUAAUCGAGUCAAUGAGCUACGGACACCGAAUCAUAAAAAAAUAAAACAUUGUUGAAUAUUAAAACCUCGAGUUAUAUUUGGACACCACCAACUUUUUGGUUCUAUUGGAUUUUAAAUCAAACACUAAUUUACUUAUAACUUUUAACUUAAAAGAUAAAUUUAACUAAAUUAGAAGUCAAACUAAAAGACCAUCUAUAUUAGGAAAAAAGGUUUUAUAAAUAUUGAAAAUUCAUGAAGAUGUGUGAUUUAUCUCAAUCCAUUGAAAAAGAAAAUCUAUUUUAUCUGGGGAAAAAAAAUGAAAAUUCAGCAAUUACGUAGGAUUUAGUUAUUGAAAUUCAAUUUUUUUAUGGAAAAUUAUUUUUUACAAAUGUAAAAUUUGAAAAAAAAAUAUUAUAGCAAAGUUAAAUAUUGCAUUGGAAAGACAAUAAAUGUUUUCAUAUCUUUUAAGGUUAACUUUUGUAAACUUCUCGAUUUUCAUAUCUUUUCCCUUAUCUUUUCUGGUUCCUUCACGCAUCCAAAAAUAUGCCUCAGAUCUGCUUCACUCGUAGAUCAAAUGAUCGAAAAGAAAUGUAUUUUGCGGAGAUGCAAAGAAGAAAGGAUAGCUUAUCUUCUACAGCACUAAACAAAAUAGGUGAGAGUUGUUCUUCUUCUUUAGCUGAUUUCGCUUCAAAAAAUCAAAGUCUUCCUCAUUAUCUCAUGUCCUGCUUAGACUAUUGGGCUAUCGUUCAUAGAGAACGAUAUCGUUUUCCUUUUACGAAGGCUGAUAUGGCUCGGCUUUUAUCAGCUGAAGAUCUGAUACCAGAGAAAGAAGGGGAACUCAUAGAUAAUCUAGCACAUAACGUUAUCGACGAGUUAAUUCAUCUAGGACUGCUGAUACAAACAUACACAGAUGGAUAUGGGCCUAGUAUUUACUUUAAUGAAUCAUAUGUAAAUUUAUGCGUUGUCGAGGUGGAUGAAGUGGACUUUUUGGCUGAAGCUGCGAAUUUACCUGUACGAGCUAUAAUACAUCAUCACAAGAACAAUAUUCCUCCUGAUUUCAAAACCCUUCAAUUUCGUUCUCUAUUUUUGACUUCAUUCGGAUCUGUUUUAUCUCGGGCCUAUAUGGAAACUAUUUGCAAGUUGCAAUAUUUAUUGGUGUUACGUUUGGGUGGCAGCUCUGCGGAGAGAUUACCUGACGAAGUGGGUGACUUGUUUCACCUGAGAUAUUUGAGCUCGAAAUUGUUUUGGAAGGAUGAACUUCCACAGACAUUAGGCAACCUUCAAAACCUACAAACUUUGGAUAUACUCAGCCCGUUCCCUUUUCAGGGAAUUAGAGUUCCAAGUGGAAUUGGAACAUUGAAAAGUCUUCUUAAUUUAGAUGAAGUAUAUGCUGGAGGCGCCAUUGCCAGUGAACUAAGCUCGUUAACCCAACUGCAACAACUCAGUGUUAACUGUGUGUCUGAAGAUAAUUCCACCCAACUAUUUGCAGCCAUCACGAAGAUGGAAAAUCUUGUCUCCUUGUCACUCAAAGCAGAUGAAUUCUACUCCCUUAAUUCAUCUGUUCUAGAUUUGGAAUCAUUUUCCCCUCCAUCUUCUAUUAAACAUCUGAGGUUAUAUGGUGCCCUUGUUGAAAUGCCUGCUUGGCUUGCCUCCAUGGAAAACCUCACUGUGUUACAUUUAAGGUAUUCCAAUCUAUUAGAGCCUCCAGCCCCUACACUUCAAUUUCUUCCCAAAUUAAAGAUUCUUCGUAUAGAUCGUGCUUAUAAAGUACGCUGCAUCGGUAAAGAGUUCUGUGACACAGGUGGGUUUCCAAAGCUUGAAAUACUUGCUUUCUCUCAGGAGGAUAUCCUAGUGGAGUGGACAGAGAUAGGCCGUGGAGCUUUUCCUAGUUUAAGGCAUCUUGAAUUUUCGUUUUGUCCAAACUUGAGGUUUCUUCCAGAAGGCUUACAGAAUAUUUCUAGUCUUCAGGUGUUGAAUUUGUGUGGUACACAUAUCGACCUUGGAAGGCGAUUACUGAGUGAAGAGAGUUACAAGAUCAAGCAUAUUUCAAAAGUCAGCUUCAGCGUCAACCGGAACGAUUGGUUUAGGCAUGGGGUUCGGUUCUAACCCGAACCGAACCGUACUGUAGAUGAACCGAUACUUGACCAGAACCGGCAGUUCAUAAUUUUGAACUGGAACCGGCGGUUCAAAUACCGGUUAAGGUUCAUGUGAAUGUUAAAAUAUGAAUCGGAACCGGCCCGAAACCGGCGGCUCCGGUCAGGUUCGAACUGGAUGCACAAAAAAAUUGUAGCUUAAAAUUUUUAUAAAAAAAUUUAUAUCACUUGAUUUAUGGUGAAGAGAAGUACAAUGGUAUGUAAAUUAUAAAAAGUGGUGAAAAUAAAUACACAUUUUUUUUUACUUAAUUUAUAUAAAAAAUGGUACAUGAAUAGUUGAUUUAUAAAAAAAAAAAAAAACUUUCAAGUGUAUAAAAAAAGAGUGUAACGGAUAGAUUUUAAUAUGAUAGGUGAUUUUUAUUUAUUUUUUGGUAAAUAAAUUUUAUUCAUUUUUUAAUCAUUUAUUUAUUUAUUUACUGUAAUUUACUAAAUUAUUCAAAAAUAUAGUUGUUAUUUUUCUAUUAUAAGAGACAAUUUGAAAAACUAAUAAAUGAGAAACAUGUAUAAAUAUGUUGAGUUAUUUUUUAUUUCACAACCAAUUAUAUUAUAACUCUUCUCUUAUUCUCAAUCAAAAUUCUCUUAAAUUUUCAUAGUUCAUUAUUCUUUUAUUGCUUUAUUUUCCUUAAUAUUGGAAUUAUCUAUUGUUUAUUUUUUAUUUUCUUACAUCCAAUUCUAAAUUCUUUCUCUAAUCUCAAUUUUUUCCAUUCAUUUGAUUUUUUUAAUAAUUUUCUUAAUAUUUGAAAAUAAUAAUUUUCAACUCAUUUCAUUAAUUUUAUAUUCUAUUUAUAGUUUCUAUAUUAGUGAAUUAGCAAAAUUUGUAAAUUUAAUGUAAUAAUAGUUCUAAAUUAGUUAAUAUAAGUUUUUUUUUUCAAAUUUUAUAAUAAUUUAUUUAGUUCAUAAAAUUUAAACAUUUUAAAAUUAUUAUUUAUUUAUGAAUUCGGAAUCAAAAUUUUAUUAUUUUUUUAAAAAUAUACGUAAUGCCAAAUCGAAUCGAAACCGUAAUUCGAACCGUGCCGAACCGUACUGGAACCGAAAUCGGACCAAAACCGAAAGUUCAAAAGUCGAUUUCGAUUCAAAAUUUUAAACAUCUCGAAUCGGCGGUUCACUAAACCGGCUAUGCCUAGAUUGGUUAAAAAGAAUUAAUAAAACAUAAGUUAAAAAAAAAAAAAAGGAAAACUCUGGAUGUUACUUUAUUUCAUUCGGUGAUUAUAUAUAUAUAUAUAUAUAUAUAUAUAUAUAUAUAUAUAUAUAUAUAUAUNNNNNNNNNNNNNNNNNNNNNNNNNNNNNNNNNNNNNNNNNNNNNNNNNNNNNNNNNNNUAUAUAUUAUAAGUUUUCCUUGAAUGACAAUUAAAAUAUCGGCUACUCCAGGAUGCAAUUCCAUGAUCAGAAUAUUAUUAGCCAGAAAGUUUUGAUUCUCUUUACACCCAAAGCUUCUUACAUAGUACUAACCCAAAAAAGAAAAAAACGUCAUUUAGUUAAACGUCACAUACAUAUAGGAAGUGAAUGAUCAUUGAACAUUGAUAUUGUUGCGGAAUUUAACGUGGUAAUGGAUAAAUAUUUAGUUUUGGUAGUUGAUGAUAAAAUGAGAAGUAAAAUAAUAAAUGGAAGAGACACAAGAUUUACGUGGAAACCCUCCAAUGUAGAGGAAAAAACCAUGGGGCGAGAGAGGAGUAAAUGCACUAUGAAAAAUAUGGAGAUACAAAUGAUUUUACACCCACACAAAAAUACACUCAAGAUAACACCUCACUACACUCAAUGAAUAUGGCAAGAGUGUGUAUAUAUAUGAAAAGGUGGUAUAUGAAGAGAGUGGAUAGUUUUAGAGAAAUGCUCUUGGAGGAUUUCUCUCUUGGAUGAAUUUCAUUUGGUUGGAUGUUAUCAAUUUGCUCCAAGCAAGGUUGCCUUAUAUAGAGUUGUAUCACCAUGUGAACAAAUUUCAAGUUUGCCUUCCAUUGUUGAAGAUGUGCCAUCCUAGUCCAAGUUAGCUCACCAACAUUGAAUUUUCCUAGCCGCCAAAAGACUAGUAUAAACGACAAAAAACAUAUUUCUCAGCCACCAAAAGACUAGUAGUGUGAACCAACAUUGAAGCCACCCAAAGACUAGUAUAAGCCAUGAAAAACAUGUGGCCAACCAAUAUAGACUUGAAGUGUGAAUCUUAGAAUUCUAAGGCAAUUUUAACAAUCUCCACCUUGACUUAAAUUCUAAGAUGAUCUCCUUACAAAAUGAUGUGCAUAUUCCUUUCUCGCCAUGCCCCAAAGGGCCUUUAGAAUUGGUGAACACCGAUCAAGUCCAAGCAAUGCUUGAACUUGAGAUUUGGAACUGGUUUCGUGAGCAUAUCCGCAGGAUUAUGAGUUGUAGCAAUUUUCUUCACGAUGAUCUUCCCAUCUGCCACAACAUCCCGAAUAAAAUACUGCCUCACAUCAAUGUGCUUGGUUCUUUCAUGAUACAUUUGAUUUUUAGUUAAAUGAAUAGCACUUUGACUAUCACAAAAUACAGUAACAACAUCUUGGGUUAAACCAAGAUCAGUAACCAAACCUCUUAACCAGAUUGCUUCUUUGACUCCUUCAGUGAUUGCAAUAUAUUCUGCCUCCGUAGUUGACAGUGCCACAACAAUAUAUUCCAGCUAAUGGCAGAAUUGCAUAAAGUAAAUACAUAACCUGACAAAGACCUUCUCUUAUCAAGAUCACCUGCAUAAUCAAAGUCAACAUAUCCAACAACAAUAUUCGGUGUUACCUUAUUCCUAUCAAAAACCAAACCAGUAUCCGCAGAACCUUUCAAGUAGUGGAAUAUCCAUUUAACUGCUUGCCAGUGUUCUUUACCUGGAUUACUCAUGUACCUGCUCACAACACUAACUGCCUGUGCAAGAUCAGGUCUAGUGCAUACCAUAGCAUACAUAAGACUACCAACUGCACUAGAAUAGGGCACAUGUGACAAUUGCUCUUUCUCUUCAUUAGACUGAGGGCANNNNNNNNNNNNNNNNNNNNNNNNNNNNNNNNNNNNNNNNNNNNNNNNNNNNNNNNNNNNNNNNNNNNNNNNNNNNNNNNNNNNNNNNNNNNNNNNNNNNNNNNNNNNNNNNNNNNNNNNNNNNNNNNNNNNNNNNNNNNNNNNNNNNNNNNNNNNNNNNNNNNNNNNNNNNNNNNNNNNNNNNNNNNNNNNNNNNNNNNNNNNNNNNNNNNNNNNNNNNNNNNNNNNNNNNNNNNNNNNNNNNNNNNNNUCAUCAACAUAUAACAAUAAGUAGACAAAAGAUCCAUCUGAAAACUUCUUGUGAUAAACACAAUUAUCAUACUGACUACGACAAUACCCAUGCUCAACCAUAAAGGAAUCAAACCUUUUGUACCAUUGUCUUGGGGACUGUUUUAGUCCAUAAAGAGACUUCUUCAAGUGACAAACAUAGUCUUCUUUUCCAGGAACAACAAAUCCUUCUGGUUGUUGCAUAUAAAUCUGCUCCUCGAGCUCUCCAUGUAAGAAAGCAGUCUUGACAUCAAGUUGUUCUAAUUCAAGAUCCUGCAAGGCAACAAGGGCAAGAAGUACACGUAUAGAAGUGUGACGAACAACAGGAGAAAACACUUCAUUAAAGUCUACACCAUGUUUUUGAGUGUAGCCUUUAGCAACUAAACGUGCUUUAUAUCUUGCAUCUUCAACUCCGGGAUUGCCUUCUUUCUUCUUAUAGACCCAUUUACAGCCUACAACUCUUUGGCCUUUUGGCAAUUUCACCAACUGCCAAGUAUCAUUCUUGUGCAGAGAUUCUAUUUCUUCUUGCAGCGAAACGUGACACUCAGAAGAAUUAGGACAUGAGAUUGCUUCAGAGUAUAUGUGAGGUUUUCCACCUUCAACUGUAUCCUCUGCAACAGCAAGAGCAUAAGCAACCAAAUUCCCUUCAUUAUAUCUUUCAGGCCGUUUGAUUUCUCUCCUGGAUUUAUCUCUAACAAUAGAAUAGUUUUCACGACGAUCUGGUUCAGUGGAAUCAGGAACCUCCGAUGUGAUCCGAGAUGAGGAAAUAUUCUCUUCGCUAUGAGUUGGUAUCUCAAAUUCAAGCUCCACCUUCUCGUCAGUUUUCUUUGAAUCACCUGUGUCAGACGGAGAAGAACUGACAGUUUCUUUUUCAGGGAGAAUUAGCACAUUUUCAUUGAAAGUAACGUCCCUACUGAUAAUUACUUUCUUAAGUUCAGGACACCACAAGCGAUACCCUUUCACACCAGAUGCAUAACCAAUAAAUAUGCAUUUUCGAGCUCUAGGCUCUAAUUUUCCCUGAUUUACAUGUGCAUAUGCAGGACAUCCAAAAAUUUUUAAAUUCGAAUAAUCAAUAGGAUUACCUGACCAAACUUCCUCUGGAAUCUUGAAGUCGAGUGAUGUGUGUGGGGAACGAUUCACCAAAUAACAUGCGGUAGAUGCAGCUUCGGCCCAAAAUUCUUUAGGCAAGGCAUCAUUAGAGAGCAUGCAAUAAACUCUCUCCAUCAAUGUCCUGUUCAUUCGUUCUGCAACUCCAUUUUGUUGAGGCGUACCGGCAACCGUGCGGUGACUCACAAUUCCUUCAUUUUCGCAGAACGCAUUGAAAUCACCUCCACAAAACUCUAGACCAUUAUCGGUCCUGAGUCGCUUGACCUUCUUCCCUGUCUGGUUUUCCAUCAAAAUCUUCCACUUCUUAAAAGUGGAAAAAACUUCAUCUUUGUGCUUUAAAAAAUAAGCCCAGAUUUUACGAGAAAAAUCAUCAAUAAUGGUUAGCAUGUAACGAUGUCCUCCUUUUGAAGGAACACGUGAGGGUCCCCAAAGAUCUGAAUGAAUAUAGUCAAGAGUACCUUUGGUUCUAUGAAUUCCGGUACCGAAAGUUAAUCUUUUCUGUUUACCGAGAAUGCAAUGUUCACAGAACUCCAACCUACCGGUAUUCUGACCGCACAAAAGACCUCUCUUGCUCAGGAUGGUCAUUCCUUUUUCACUCAUAUGGCCAAGAUGCCAUAAUUUUGUGACGUCUGAAUCUGACAUAGAUAAUGAUACAGNNNNNNNNNNGAACUUGUAACAGUAGAUCCUUGCAACACAUACAAACUCCCAAAUCUGUUAGCUUUCACUAAAAUAAGAGCACCUUUAGAGACCUUUAGAACUCCACCUUCAGCUGCAUAUUUACACCCAAGGGACUCCAGGGUGCCAAGAGAGAUAAGGUUCCAUUUCAAGUCGGGAACAUGUCUAACACCGGUUAAAGUUCUAAUCAUGCCAUCAUGCAUUUUAAUUCUAAUUGUUCCUUUUCCAAUAACUUUACACUGAGCAUUUUUCCCCAUUAAGACAAUACCACAAUCAACAGAUUCAUAAGUGGUAAACCAAUCUUUAUGGGGACACAUGUGAUAGGAACAAGCAGAAUCUAGAAUCCACUCCGUUUUAGAUCUAGUUCCAAAAUCAGUAACAGACAAAACUUCACCUUCAGACUCUUUUUGAGCAAUACUUGCUUCAGCUGAAUUUUCUGAAUUCUUCUGAUUAUUAUUUUCGCCUUUUUGCUACUUAUUUUCCAACUUAAAGCAUUCUAAAAUUGCAUGUCCCUUUUUCUUGCAAUAGCGACAAAAUUUCUUAUUAUCUCGGCCUCUAGACUUUGAUCUGGAUUUACUUCUACUGCUACUACCAUGAUCCAUAGUUCUCCCCCUAACAAUUAACCCUUCAGCUUCAUCCUUUGAAUUAUUCUCAUAGUCAUAUUUUUCUUUUGACAAGAGAUUUUGUUUGACAUCAUCAAAGGUUAGGGUCUCAUUACCACCGUAUAACAUAAUAUCUUUAAAGUUACGGUAUGACCGGGGAAGUGAGUAAACUAACAAAACAGCUUUAUCUUCAUCAUUGAUUUCAACAUCUAAAUUUUCCAAAUCAACUAUGAUGGAAUUAAACUCAUCAAGGUGAGUUUGAAUGGGUGUACCUUCGACCAUCUUAAUGGUAUAGAGGCGCUCCUUGAAACGAAUCUUGUUGGCAAGNNNNNNNNNNNNNNNNNNNNNNNNNNNNNNNNNNNNNNNNNNNNNNNNNNNNNNNNNNNNNNNNNNNNNNNNNNNNNNNNNNNNNNNNNNNNNNNNNNNNNNNNNNNNNNNNNNNNNNNNNNNNNNNNNNNNNNNNNNNNNNNNNNNNNNNNNNNNNNNNNNNNNNNNNNNNNNNNNNNNNNNNNNNNNNNNNNNNNNNNNNNNNNNNNNNNNNNNNNNNNNNNNNNNNNNNNNNNNNNNNNNNNNNNNNNNNNNNNNNNNNNNNNNNNNNNNNNNNNNNNNNNNNNNNNNNCGUGGUAAUGGAUAAAUAUUUAGUUUUGGUAGCUGAUGAUAAAAUGAGAAGUAAAAUAAUAAAUGGAAGAGACACAAGAUUUACGUGGAAACCCUCCAAUGUAGAGGGAAAAAACCACGGGGCGAGAGAGGAGUAAAUGCACUAUGAAAAAUAUGGAGAUACAAAUGAUUUUACACCCACACAAAAAUACACUCAAGAUAACACCUCACUACACUCAAUGAAUAUGGCAAGAGUGUGUAUAUAUAUGAAAAGGUGGUAUAUGAAGAGAGUGGAUAGUUUAGAGAAAUGCUCUUGGAGGAUUUCUCUCUUGGAUGAAUUUCACUUGGUCAAUUUGCUCCAAGCAAGGUUGCCUUAUAUAGAGUUGUAUAACCAUGUGAACAAAUUUCAAGUCUUCCUUCCAUUGUUAAAGAUGUGCCAUCCUAGUCCAAGUUAGCUCACCAACAUUGAAUUUUCUUAGCCACCAAAAGACUAGUAUAAACCACAAAACAUAUUUCUUAGCCACCAAAAGACUAGUAUAAACCACAAAACAUAUUUCUUAGCCACCAAAAGACUAGUAUAAACCACAAAACAUAUUUCUUAGCCACCAAAAGACUAGUAGUGUGAACCAACAUUGAAUCCAUCCAAAAACUAGUAUAAGCCAUGAAAAACAUGUGGCCAACCAAUAUAGACUUGAAGUGUGAAUCUUAGAAUUCUAAGGCAAUUUUAACAGAUAUCAAGAAUCUUGCCAGUGGUAGAAGCUUUAGGAAUGGUUAUAUACAAAACUCCAUCUUUAACCUCAACUUUUAUUUUCUCAAACUGUAGGUUCUCAGGUAAUGCAAUUCUGCAGCUAUAUUUCCCAUAGCUCUUAGCAGACCAUCCUCCAUCUUCUUCUUCUUCCUCUAUUCCAUUUUGUGCACCAUUGACAUUAUUUUUCUCGGGCACCUUCUCUGCUUUCAAAACCAACAUCUUCUCUUCAACCCAUACCUUCACAUCUUCUUUAGUCAUUCUCAGGCCUAAAAUAUGCCUCAAAUCUGCUUCACUCGUGAAUCAACUGAUCGAAAAGAAAUUUAUUUUGCGGAUAUGCAAAGAAGAAAGGAUAGAUUAUCUUCUACAGCACUAAACGAAAUAGGUGAGAGUUGUUCUUCUUCUUCAGCUGAUUUCGUUUCAAUAUGUCAAAGUCUUCCUCAUUCUCUCAUGUCCUGCUUAGACUAUUGCGCUAUCGUUCUUAGAGGACUAUAUCGUUUGACGAAGGCUGAGAUGGCUCGGCUUCUAUCAGCUGAAGCUCUGAUACCAGAGAAAGAAGGGGAACUCACAGAUAAUGUAGCAAAUAACGUUAUUGACGAGUUAAUUCAUCUAGGACUGCUGAUAGAAAUACACAAAGAGUUACAUAGUUUUGAAUAUGGCCUUUGUAUUGACGUUAAUGAACCAUAUAUAAAUUUAUGCGUUGUCAAGGUGGAUGAAGUGGAAUUUUUGGCUGAAGCUGCGAAUUUAUCUGUACGAGCUAUAAUACAUCAUCAUCAGAACAACAUUCCUCCUGAUUUCAAAACCCUUCAAAUUCGUUCUCUAUUUUUGACUGCAUUCGGAUCUGGUCUUUCUCAGGCCUAUAUGGAAACUAUUUGCAAGUUACAAUAUUUAUUGGUGUUACAUUACCUGACGAAGUGGGUGACUUGUUUCACCUAAGAUAUUUGGGCUCGAAUUUUUCAUAUAUGGAUGAACUUCCACAGACAUUAGGCAACCUUCAAAACCUACAAACUUUGGAUAUAAUAGCCUAUGGAACGCUGAAGGAAUUGCCUUUACAAGUCUUGAAUAUUCAACGGUUGAGACACAUCAAUAUCAUAAUACGCAACCCGUUCACUUCAAGGGGAAUUAGAGUUCCAAGUGGAAUUGGAACAUUGAAAAGUCUUCUUACUUUAGGUGCAGUAUAUGCUGGAGGCGUCAUUGCCAGUGAACUAAGCUCGUUAACCCAACUGUAACAACUCAGUAUUGGCCGUGUGUCUGAAGAUAAUUCCACCCAACUAUUUGCAGCCAUCACGAAGAUGGAAAAUCUUGUCUCCUUAUCACUCAAAGCAGAUGAAUGCUACUCCCUUAAUUCAUCUGUUCUGGAUUUGGUAUCAUUUUCCCCUCCAUCUUCUAUUAAACAUCUGAGGUUAUAUGGUGCCCUUGUUGAAAUGCCUGUUUGGCUUGCCUCGAUGGAAAACCUCACCGUGUUACAUUUAAGUUAUUCAAAUCUAUUAGAGCCCCCAGCCCCUACACUUCAAUUUCUUCCCAAAUUAAAAGUUCUUCGUAUAGGUCGUGCUUAUAAAGUACACUGCAUCGGUAAAGAGUUCUGUGACGCAGGUGGGUUUCCAAAGCUUGAAAAACUUAUUUUCUAUCAUGAGGAUUUCCUAGUGGAGUGGACAGAGAUAGUCCGUGGAGCUUUUCUGAGUUUAAUGCAUCUUGAAUUUUCGUUUUGUCCAAACUUGAGGUUUCUUCCAGAAGGCUUACAGAAUAUUUCUAGUCUUCAGGCGUUGAAUUUGUAUAAUACACAUAUGGACCUUGAAAGGCCAUUAUUGGGUGAAAAGAGUUACAAGAUCAAGCAUAUUUCAAAAGUCAGCUUCAUCGAUUGCUGAAAAUGUGAGAGAAUUAGUACAAAAUAAGUUAGAAAAAAGAAAACUCUCAUAUGUUACUUUAUUUCGUUAGGUGAUUCUACAAUGGUAGUUAUUUUUUUUAUAUAAGUUUUUCUUAAAUGACAAUUAAAAUAUCGGCUACUCCAGGAUGCAAUUCCAUGAUCAGGAUAUUAUUAGCCAGAAAGUUUUGGUUCUCUUUACACCCAAAGCUUCUUACUCGGUACUAACCAAAAAAAAAAAAAAGUCAUUUAGAUAAACUUCACAUGCAUAUAGGAAGUGAAUGAUCAUUGAACAUUGAUACCAAGAAUCUUGCCAGUGGUAGAAGCUUUAGGAAUGGUUAUAUACAAAACUCCAUCUUUAACCUCAGCUUUUAUUUUCUCAAACUGUAUGUUCUCAGGUAAUGCAAUUCUGCAGCUAUAUUUCCCAUAGCUCUUAGCAGACCAUCCUCCAUCUUCUUCUUCUUCCUCUAUUCCAUUUUGUGCACCAUUGACAUUAUUUUUCUCGGGCACCUUCUCUGCUUUCAAAACCAACAUCUUCUCUUCAACC